rnacentral:rRNA from 1 species
UGCCCAAGAGAUCGGGAUAACACCUGGAAACAGAUGCUAAUACCGGAUAACAACAGAUGAUGCCUAUCAACUGUUUAAAAGAUGGUUCUGCUAUCACUCUUGGAUGGACCUGCGGUGCAUUAGCUAGUUGGUAGGGUAACGGCCUACCAAGGCGAUGAUGCAUAGCCGAGUUGAGAGACUGAUCGGCCACAUUUGGGACUGAGACACGGCCCAAACUCCUACGGGAGGCAGCAGCC